rnacentral:rRNA from 1 species
UACGUAGGAGGCGAGCGUUGUCCGGAAUUACUGGGCGUAAAGCGUGCGCAGGCGGCUUCUCAAGUCAGGGGUGAAAGCCCAGAGCUCAACUCUGGAAUUGCCUUUGAGACUGAGAGGCUUGAGUGCGGGAGAGGUGAGUGGAAUUCCCAGUGUAGAGGUGAAAUUCGUAGAUAUUGGGAAGAACACCGGUGGCGAAGGCGGCUCACUGGCCCGUAACUGACGCUCAGGCACGACAGCGUGGGGAUCAAACAGG